GUAGGUCCAACCAUAAUUUUAUAUAAUAUUGCAUAUAUAAAUUGAUUGAGUGUAUUAUACAUUCGGAUACAAUAAGACUCAUUUCUCAUGUUUCUCUCAUGACAACGGAUAAGCAAUUGAUCAAUAUUUAAAAAACAAAACAUAACAUAACAUAAGAACCAGUAAAAUUGUCAAUCAUUUUGGAAGUCAAGUAAUUCACAGCAAACCACCAAAAUAAGGCACACCAGUCGCCGGCAACCAGAAAUCUCCCAGUGUGAAGUUGGAUACAGUGAAGUUCGUCGCAUCGGUAGCAUUAAUCAAAUGAUAACCAGGCCAUGUAACCCUAUUAGUAGGAUCUGAUCCUGGACCAGUGUUAUCAAAUUCUGCAUAAUAAAGUGUAGCAAGUGCAAAAUCUCCUGACCAUGGAGCCCAACCAGAAGGAUCAAUUAGACUAUCUAUGAAAGAUUGCAUCACAACUGUUCUUGAAUACUCCUUCCAUGGCCUCCCUAAGUAAGACUUUGUAGUGCCAUUGCUUGAGGCCAAGUCCUCAGCUGCCAAUAUACUACAAUUUUGUAUUGAAGUGCCCGUGUUUUGGUUAGGGUCAGUUCUGCCCUGUGCAGUUACGGUGUUGAACUGGCCAUUCAAGGGUAGUCUUGAAUAAAUCUUGCAGUUCUGGAAAACAACAACGGCGUUACCGAAUAUGUAAUCUAUGGUGCCAUAUAUUUCACAGUCCCUGUAGAAUUGCCUGAGAGAAUGAGUAUAUAAGGUGUCUUGGUACCCUUCAAAGCUGCAGUUAUAGAAUGCAGACAAAUCAGCUCCAUUUCUAACUGCCACCGCUUGCUGCUUAAUUGCUCCUGCUGUGUUCUGAAAUGUUAUGUUCACUGCAACAAAACCUUGCCCAACUACAGCAAACGUCGCAGAAUUAAAUGUAGUCCACCCAUCAACGACACUCCGGUUUCCAGUGAUGAUGGUCUGGUUAAUACCAUCACCGAUCAUCAUCAAGUAUUUCUUGUACUUUGGAAUGGAAACAUACUCGUUAUAAACCCCUGCAACCACGUAAAUCACAAAAUAUCCGUCACUGCUAGCUGUGUUAUUAGGUGCAGCAUUCACAGCGUCGGUAAUAGUAGCAAAAUCCCCAGGUCCAUAUGGAUUCACGACCACCAUUUUUCUCACUGAAACACCAUCUGUAAAUGCUUGAAGGAGUUUUCUUCCAAUUAUAGACUUGUACGUCUGUAAAGGCAAGCUUUUUCUUGCACCAACUUCCAUAUUGGGGAAUGUGUCUUUUCUUUCUGUUAGCAAUCUACCUUCCUCUGUGUUAGGAGCCCAAGCAUGUAGAAAAAGGGCGAGGGAGACACUACAAUACUGGGUUCCAUUAGAAAGAGGUGCAGAUAGGCUAUUCAAGAUAUUUGAAGCUGAUGCUGAGGAUUGAAGGCCUUCCAGGCAAGUUUCUAGGUUGGUCAAAGUGGCACUAAACAAUGUUAGUAGAUCAAAGGUAAUCGAGCCUGGAAGAUUGUUAUCAUUAGAAAUAUUUGUAGUUUCGAAUGCAUAUGACAAGAAUUCUAUGUUUAGCUGAGCUAAAAACAGGCAAUCUUCAAGGGCGAGAACGGUGGGUUCAUAGGAUAUAGAGGGUAGGUUCAAGUAAUGUAGGACGAGUGAAAGAAAGCUUCUUGCAUUCGUCAAGGAAUUGGAAAUAGAAACCUUAGCAUAGUCGUGGAUGGUUCCACGCUUGUUAUAUGGCAAAGAGGAUUUGCAAAAGGAUGGAUGAGGAGUGGAGUUACAAAGGGUUUCUGGAGUAUUGAAGAUUGGUAAAGAGUCUGCAAGGGAAAGGGAGAAGAAAAGCAUGAGAAGAAGGGAAAUGGUGCUUAGGGAAGAAAACUUAGAAGCCAUGGUCAUGGGAGUAGCUAAU
rnacentral:misc_RNA from 1 species